rfam:Cariama cristata contig11201, whole genome shotgun sequence.
AUCACUUCUUGGCCUUUUGGCUAGGAUCAAGUGUAGUAUCAGUUGAAGGCUUCGCAUGUCCUCUCUUUGGGGACUCUAUCCUGCCCUGGCAGCAGGCUGGGCUCAGUGACCUCCU